rnacentral:tRNA from 2 species
GGGCAAUUACCCAAGUGGCUGAAGGGACUAGUCUUGAAAACUGGCAGGGGUGUUAAAGCCCGCGGGGGUUCGAAUCCCUCAUUGCCCGCCA